GCCGGGCUUGGUGGCGCAUGCCUGUAAUCCCAGCUACUCAGGAGGCUGAAGCAGAAGAAUCACUUGAGCCUGGGAGGCAGAGGCUGCAGUGAGCCGAGAUCAUGCCACUGCACUCCAGCCUGGGCUACAGAGCGAGAUUCUGUCUCAA
rnacentral:SRP_RNA from 1 species